rnacentral:rRNA from 1 species
UACGUAGGGUGCGAGUGUUGUCCGGAAUUAUUGGGCGUAAAGAGCUUGUAGGUGGUUUGUCGCGUCUGCUGUGAAAUCCGAGGCUCAACCUCGGACUUGCAGUGGGUACGGGCAGACUAGAGUGUGGUAGGGGAGACUGGAAUUCCUGGUGUAGCGGUGGAAUGCGCAGAUAUCAGGAGGAACACCGAUGGCGAAGGCAGGUCUCUGGGCCAUUAACUG